CCUACGGGAGGCUGCAGUGGGGAAUAUUGGACAAUGGGGGCAACCCUGAUCCAGCCAUGCCGCGUGUGUGAAGAAGGCCCUCGGGUUGUAAAGCACUUUCAGUGAGGAAGAACGCCUGGUGGUUAAUACCCAUCAGGAAAGACAUCACUCACAGAAGAAGCACCGGCUAACUCCGUGCCAGCAGCCGCGGUAAUACGGAGGGUGCGAGCGUUAAUCGGAAUUACUGGGCGUAAAGCGCGCGUAGGUGGCUUGAUAAGCCGGUUGUGAAAGCCCCGGGCUCAACCUGGGAACGGCAUCCGGAACUGUCAAGCUAGAGUGCAGGAGAGGAAGGUAGAAUUCCCGGUGUAGCGGUGAAAUGCGUAGAGAUCGGGAGGAAUAACAGUGGCGAAGGAGGCCUUCUGGACUGACUCUGACACUGAGGUGCGAAAGCGUGGGUAGCAAACAGGAUUAGAUACCCGGGUAGUC
rnacentral:rRNA from 1 species